AGCUUCCUCCUCACUCUGAGUUCCACAGGCGGGGAAGUUGUUGACAUCCCCACCUUUGUGAAAUACUCUCUUCUGUUGGGUUCCCUGAUUCCAGAAUGCCUUGGUUUUCUUUCUAUUUUCUUCAGCAAAUAUUCCUCAGUCAUCUUAAAUCUGUCACUUUCCUACUUAAAACACUUCAUUUGUUUUUAAAUUCCGUGAGUUAUAAAUUCAGUGGUUAUCAGACUCCUCCUCACUUCUCCAGAUGCUUCUCCAGAUAGCUCUAGCUAUCCUCAUCUUACUGAUUUUUCCUUUCUUCAGACACCCUGCUCCUGGUCUCUUGCUCCUUAUAUAUAUAACUAUAUGACAUGAAGCCAGUUCUAAUUUAUGAACCCUAGCCUCUGCCGGCCUGCGUAGUUAUUCCAAAUUUCCAUCACUCUUCAGGCCUUCAGUAUCAUUACCACUAUCCUAUCUCCUACCACUGUGCCACCUGCUUCAUGGGGGUGGGGGUGGGGGGAAGAAAAGAAAAACAGAAUGAGGCCUUCAUACCAGGAUUUCCUCAGCCUCUUCCUUGAUACUUAGAAAUAUACCUGCAUGGGAACCUACCCACUCUUCCUUAUUUUUUGUCCCAGGGAAAGAAAUGUGCUUCCACUUAUUGAAGCCCAAUCCAGUCCCUUCCUGACUUUUCAGGAAUGUGUUCUACUUGUUGACAUUGGCUUUUGUCUCCAGUAGUUUUGUCCAUUGUUAUACUCUUACACUCCUUGGAAAAGAGGAGUCCCUUGAUUCCACAUUUCCUCCUAGCUACUGACCUAGCCGUGCUUCCUUUCAGAAUCAGGUUUCUUGAAAGAGAGGCCUGUAAUUGGCUAUCCCCACUUCCUUAUGCCUGUUUGGUUCCCCAACCCACUGCCAUUAGCUUCUGUUCCCCAGACGCCAGUGAAAUGGUUCCUGCUAACUUGCCAGUAAGUUUCACGGUUUCCAAAACCAGUGGACAGUUUUUGUGUUUUUUUUUUUUAAUCUUUACCUUAUGUUGUGCUUCUGUAAUAUUAGACACCGCUGACCACCCCUCCUUGGACCUGUCUUCUCCUUUGAUGGACGUGAUCCUACUUUUCUCUGGUACUUCUCUGAUCUUCUCAGCUUUUUCCUUUGCAGGCUCUUUGGGGCUCGUCUUUAUUCACUUGUUCGUUUAGCAGAUAUUUAUUGAGCUGGACCCUGGAGCUGCAGUGAGGGGUAGAAUAUAAUCCCUGCCCUCAUGGAGUUUGUAGCGUACAGGGAAUGAGAGACCAUUGAAUAAUCACGCUAGUAACCAUAGACCAUUAUGAAUUCCGGUAAGUGCUGUGAGAGCGCGAAUCAGGGGCCUGAUCUAGUUUUGGGGUACCUGAGGGUUGACGCAAAUAGGUGUCAUCCAUCAUACUGUACUACUUUUCUUACCUUGUCAAAAUAUGAAAUUUUGGUGAAUGAAUGCAUAUUCCUCUUCGUCAUACCCUUAAUUAUUUAAUAACUGUCAGUCACGUACGCUUUCACAAUCUGCUGUUUCCAAAUGGAGAUAUUUUUAGUCUUUUUAUGUACAGUCUCUGCUGCCUAUUAGUAGUUAUGUAGAGACUUGGGGCUUAAAUACAUUUUUGUAAAUUUUCUUCAGUUCCCUACUGCCUUCCUUGAGCAGCAGUAGAAGUCCACGGCAUUCCAGGUGCCCGUCUCUUUGAAACUGCAUUCCAUCCCCUGUCUUAAAAAUUGGAUUUACACAUGUAGCUUUCUAAAUUUAGAUCUUGUGCGUCAAGAGUAGACAGCCUACUACAGGCACAUCUAUACCACUCCUUUUUAGUAUGCCGUAUUGUUGAGGAGGUGUGGACGGUCCGGACCUGACCUCCGUCGUUUCAUAAUUGUGACAAAUGACUUGGAUGUGCUGCCCAAGGAAGCGCUGCGAAUCGGCAUCAAAACCCUGGCAAUCUGGCUGAGAUUGGGGGUUUAACCUUUUUAGCCUGGAUCCUUCGCAGGCAUACACAAGAUACGCCAGACAUGUGAAAAGGGGAGGGAGCGAGCCAAGCACUGGAACCUCUGGGGCACUGAUGUAACAAUAUUCCAAACUCAAAACCCACUUCAACACCUACCAAACUGAUGGACCUGCGUUUCAAGUCCAUCUCUGAAUGUGGAGGAAUACCCCUCCUUCCUGCCCCUCACCCUGAGGUUCUCUGUUCCGCCCAGAACUGUAUUCGAUAUAAUUCCCAAGGGGAGACAUAGAACUGAUGGACAAAAGACUAAAAAAAGAGAGUUUGACUCAGUUUGACUCUUAUAUAACAAUCAGCUUUGCUGUGGUUAAUAACAUUGACUUGGCACAGA